rnacentral:tRNA from 1 species
GCCGGAGUAGCUCAGUGGCAGAGCAGGACUUUCGUAAAGUCAAGGUCGCGAGUUCGAAUCUCGCCUCCGGCU